UCAAGCGAACAAGAGCGCAGGGUGGAUGCCAGGGCACUGAUUGCCGACGAAGGACGCGAUAAGCUGCGAAAAGCCAUGGGGAGCCGCAAGUAGGCAUUGAUCCAUGGAUAUCCGAAUGGGGGAACCCGGCUGGGGUAAUGCCCAGUCACUCCCGGCUGAAUCAAAUAGGCCGGGCAGAGGGCACCCGGGGAAGUGAAACAUCUAAGUACCCGGAGGAGAAGAAAGAAAACUCGAUUUCCUUAGUAGUGGCGAGCGAAGAGGAAAGAGGCCAAACCGUGAGUCUACGGACGCACGGGGUUGAGGAGCGGCGACAUGUGACGAUAGACGAGCCGAAAGAUCUGGAAAGGUCGGUCAGAGAGGGUGACAGCCCCGUAGGCGAAGUCGAAAAUAGCUAGCCGGAUCCAGAGUACCGCGGGACACGAGAAAUCCUGUGGGAAGCAGGGGGGACCACCCCCCAAGCCUAAAGACGAUCAGUGACCGAUAGCGCAUAGUACCGUGAGGGAAAGGUGAAAAGAACCCCGGGAGGGGAGUGAAAGAGAACCUGAAACCCUGCGUUUACAAGCAGAUGAAGAACAAUAAAGGUUCGACAUCGUACUUUUUGUAGAACGGACCGGCGAGUUACGUUAUGCAGCGAGGUUAAGAACUUAAGGUUCGGAGCCGAAGCGAGAGCGAGUCUGAAGAGGGCGAUGUAGUUGCAUGACGUAGACCCGAAACCGGGCGACCUAUCCAUGGGCAGGUUGAAGUGAAGGUAAAGCUUCAUGGAGGACCGAACCAGACGUCCGCUGAAAAGGGCGGGGAUGACCUGUGGAUAGCGGAGAAAUUCCAAUCGAGCUCGGAUAUAGCUGGUUCUCCUCGAAAUAGCUUUAGGGCUAGCCUGAGGUUAGUCUGUCGGGGGUAGAGCACUGAAUGGGCUAGGGGGUAUCAAAGCUUACCGAACCCUAUCAAACUGCGAAUACCGAACAGAUGAUGCCUUGGAGUCAGACGGCGAGUUAUAAGAUCCGUCGUCAAAAGGGAAACAGCCCAGAUCGACAGCUAAGGUCCCGAAGUGUGUGUUAAGUGGGAAAGGAUGUGCAAUUGCAUAGACAACCAGGAUGUUGGCUUAGAAGCAGCCACACAUUCAAAGAGUGCGUAAUAGCUCACUGGUCGAGUGAUCCAGCGCCGAAAAUGUAACGGGGCUAAAACGCGACACCGAAGCAGCGGGAUGCGUAAGCAUCGGUAGAGGAGCAUUGUGUGAGGAUAGAAGCCAGAGCGGGAGCACUGGUGGACUUCACAGAAGAGAGAAUGCCGGUAUGAGUAGCGAGACCCAUGCGAGAAACAUGGGCGUCGAAGGCCCAAGGUUUCCUGGGGAAGGUUCAUCCACCCAGGGUAAGUCGGGACCUAAGCCGAGGACUGAGGUCGUAGGCGAUGGACAGCAGGUAGAGAUUCCUGCACCACUUACACUUGUUUGACGAAGCAGUGACACAGAAGGAUAGGACGAGCGCGGUGAUGGUCAACCGCGUAGGCGGCACGAGGCCGGGAAGCAGUGAAGUACACUUCCCGCAAAGGCUGAGUGUUGACAGGACCGAAAAGAAGUAGGGAAGCGUCCGAGUUCACGCUGGCGAGAAAAGCUGCUAAGGAGAGUGUGAGUGCCCGUACCGGAAACCGACGCAGGUGGGCGAGGAGAGAAUCCUGAGACGGACGGGAGAACUCUUGUUAAGGAACUCGGCAAAAUGACCCCGUAACUUCGGGAGAAGGGGUGCCUCGAAAGAGGCCGCAGAGAAUAGGCCCAAGCGACUGUUUAGCAAAAACACAGGUUUGUGCGAAAGCGAGAGCUGACGUAUACGAGCUGACGCCUGCCCGGUGCUGGAAGGUUAAGAGGAGUUGUCAUCGCAAGAGAAGCAGCGAAUUGAAGCCCCAGUAAACGGCGGCCGUAACUAUAACGGUCCUAAGGUAGCGAAAUUCCUUGUCGGGUAAGUUCCGACCCGCACGAAUGGUGUAACGACUUGUGAGCUGUCUCAACAGGGGGCCCGGUGAAAUUGAAGUAUGGGUGAAGAUGCCCAUUACCCGCGACUGGACGGAAAGACCCCGUAGAGCUUUACUGCAGCCUGAUAUUGAGUUUCGGUAACUGAUGCACAGGAUAGGUGGGAGUCUGAGAGACAUGGGUUUCGGCUCAUGUGGAGACGGUGUUGGGAUACCACUCUUCGGUUACUGAAAUUCUAACAUAGCUCUGUGAAACCAGAGGAUGGACAGUGUCAGGUGGACAGUUUGACUGGGGCGGUCGCCUCCGAAAGAGUAACGGAGGCGCCCAAAGGUACCCUCAGAAUGGAUGGAAACCAUUCGAAGAGCGCAAAGGCAGAAGGGUGCCUGACUGCGAGAUUGACAAAUCGAGCAGAGACGAAAGUCGGGCUUAGUGAUCCGGCGGUAUUGAGUGGAAAAGCCGUCGCUUAACGGAUAAAAGCUACCUCGGGGAUAACAGGCUGAUCUCCCCCAAGAGUCCACAUCGACGGGGAGGUUUGGCAC
rnacentral:rRNA from 1 species